rnacentral:tRNA from 1 species
GAGAAUUGAAAGCUAAUACAUAAGCAGCGACCUUGUAAGUCGAAGAUAGAGACACCUCUCAAUUCU